GUUGGGUGUGUGAGCUGCGCAAAAGCUCUGU
rnacentral:piRNA from 1 species